UAUGCAUUUUUUUGACAUAUCAGAAACGAUAUUAGAAAUGAUACAAGAAAAUGUAUAGUGUCAUACAGCCUUAAGUUUAGGAAAGGUAAUAAAAAUUCAAAUCUUUACAGUUUACUUAGUUUGUUUCAUAUAUUAUAACCUGGACCUAUGGAUCUUAUAUAAGUAAAAUACAUCUGAAGAAAAUUUAUGCGAAACGACCCUUGUACAUAAAUCGGAGUUAUGGAUUUCACAGAUAUUUCUCAGAAUGAAUUUUAAGUGCUUGUAAAGUAACCAACCAGGUUCGGAUCUGCCCUACUUGCCUGUAACGUGAAAUGAAUUCGAUGAAAUGUGAAAUAUUUAUUAUAUCAGAAAGGUACAGAUAGACCAAGUGCAAAAGUGGAUUUGUUUAAUUUUAUUAAAAUAAACAUAUAAAAA
rnacentral:lncRNA from 1 species